GGUAAAAUGACUGAUUAAAGUGAUAAACUGUAAAUUUAUAAAUGAAUUUUUAAAUUCUUUUACC
rnacentral:tRNA from 1 species